GACGAACGCUUGCGGCGGGCUUAAUACAUGCAAGUCGAACGGAUAUGCCCUUCUUUUGUGGGGUGCUCGAGUGGCGAACGGGUGAGUAACACGUGAGUAACCUGCCCUUGACUUUGGGAUAACUGCAUGAAACUGGGGCUAAUACCUGAUAGGAGCUCCUGCUGCAUUGUGUGUGUCGGAAUGUCUCGGUGGUUGGGGACGGACUCGCGGCUUAUGAGCUUGUUGGUUGGGUAGUGGUUUACCAAGGCUGUGACGGGUAGCCGGCCUGAAGGGAUGACCGGCAACGUUGGGACUGAGAUACGGCCCAGAAUGGUAGGGGGGGGAGAAGUGAGGAAUACUGGCCAAUGGACGGAAGCCAGAUGAAGCAAAGCAGCGUGAGGGAUAACGGCAUUCGCGUUGUAAGCAGCAUUCAACUGUGACGAAGCGUGAGUGACGGUAAUGGGUAAAGAAGCGCCGGCUACCUACGUG
rnacentral:rRNA from 1 species